UUCUUCAAGGAGUUUCAUGCAUCCCCCAUGGGAGGACACACUGGCAUUGUCAAAACACGCAUUGCCAUGUGUUCCCGAUUCUAUUGGCCUGGUAUGACAGCAGACAUUGAGAAAUGGGUGUCUCAAUGUGACCGGUGCCAAAGAGUUGGACCUCCCCUCCAAGUUGUCAGAGAACUUCAGUGCAUAAAGGUGUCAGGGGUGUGGGAGCUGAUCGGAAUUGAUCUGACAGGUCCCAUGCCCCUGACAUCUUGUGGCAAUCAGUAUAUCCUGACAGCUACAGAUUACUUCUCUAAAUGAGUGGAGGCUUUCCCUCUCAAGACUAAGACCGCUGAGGAAGUCUGCCAAAAAUUAUGUUCUAUAUUUUACCGGCACGGCUGUCCUCAGCGUAUUCUCACUGACCAAGGGCGAGAAUUUGUGAACACAAUGAACAGUAGACUCUGUGAUCUACUUUCAAUUCAAAGAAGCAUCACUGCCGCCUAUCAUCCUCAAACCAACGGCUUGGAUGAAAAGACAAAUGACAACAUUAAGC